rnacentral:snoRNA from 12 species
UCAUCAGUAUGGUGUAAUCCUUACCUGUUGACUGCUACGGCAGUCAUCAGUAAGGCAAAUGAUGACUAGGGCAGUAUGAUUCCUCACGAAUUACACGCUCGGGCCUAGAGACUAACACCCUCUUAGGUCACAUCUGAC